AUUGAACGCUGGCGGCAGGCCUAACACAUGCAAGUCGAACGGUAACAGGAAGCAGCUUGCUGCUUCGCUGACGAGUGGCGGACGGGUGAGUAAUGUCUGGGAAACUGCCUGAUGGAGGGGGAUAACUACUGGAAACGGGAGCUGAUACCGCAUAACGUCGCAAGACCAAAGAGGGGGACCUUAGGGCCUCUUGCCAUCGGAUGUGCCCAGAUGGGAUUUGCUAGUAGGUGGGGUAACGGCUCACCUAGGCGACGAUCCCUAGCUGGUCUGAGAGGAUGACCCGCCACACUGGAACUGAGACACGGUCCAGACUCCUACGGGAGGCAGCAGUGGGGAAUAUUGCACAAUGGGCGGAAGCCUGAUGCAGCCAUGCCGCGUGUAUGAAGAAGGCCUUCGGGUUGUAAAGUACUUUCAGCGGGGAGGAAGGGAGUAAAGUUAAUACCUUUGCUCAUUGACGUUACCCGCAGAAGAAGCACCGGCUAACUCCGUG
rnacentral:rRNA from 1 species